AGUGAACGCUGGCGGUAGGCCUAACACAUGCAAGUCGAACGGCAGCACAGUAAGAGCUUGCUCUUACGGGUGGCGAGUGGCGGACGGGUGAGGAAUACAUCGGAAUCUACUUUUUCGUGGGGGAUAACGUAGGGAAACUUACGCUAAUACCGCAUACGACCUACGGGUGAAAGCAGGGGAUCUUCGGACCUUGCGCGAUUGAAUGAGCCGAUGUCGGAUUAGCUAGUUGGCGGGGUAAAGGCCUACCCAGGCGACGAUCCGUAGCUGGUCUGAGAGAAUGAUCGGCGACACUGGAGCUGAGACACGGUCCAGACUCCUACGGGAGGCAGCAGUGUGGAAUAUUGGACAAUGGGCGCAAGCCUGAUCCAGCCAUACCGCGUGGGUGAAGAAGGCCUUCGGGUUGUAAAGCCCUUUUGUUGGGAAAGAAAAGCAGCAGGUUAAUACCACGCUGUUCUGACGGUACCCAAAGAAUAAGCACCGGCUAACUUCGUG
rnacentral:rRNA from 1 species